ACGGCGAAUGGUUCAUCAAGUCUUCAAAAACGAAUAUAUACGAUUGCAUUGCAUAUACUAACGGAUGCGAUCAUACCAGCACUAAUGCACCGGAUCCCAUCAGAACUCCGCAGUCAAGCGUGCUUGGGCGAGAGUAGUACUAGGAUGGGUGACCUCCCGGGAAGUCCUCGUGUUGCAUCCCUCUUUUAUGUUUAACCUUUUUUU
rnacentral:rRNA from 1 species